rnacentral:lncRNA from 1 species
GUACCCCCCCCCCAACUCCACCCCACCCACGGUGCGGUGCUCCCCGGCCGGCAGCCGGGCUACGUCACCGUCCCCUGCGCCUCGAUGCCAGCAUCUCCAUCCUCAUCCUCUUCCGCAGGGCGAGGAAGGCUUCCCUGGCUUCAAGGGGGACAUGGGCGUCAAAGGAGACCGGGUAGGUGCGCGGGGUGGGGGGGGGGGGGGGCUCCCUGACAUCCCCCCCAAGGGCUGCUGCCCUGGCCAGACCACCCUGAUGCCCCCCACCCCGGCACCUCCCGCAGGGUGAAGUCGGCGUGCCGGGCUCCCGGGGUGAGGACGGACCCGAAGGUCCCAAGGGGCGGACGGGACCCACCGGUGACCCCGGUCCCAUCGGGCUGGUCGGAGAGAAGGGGAAGCUGGGAGUGCCAGGCCUGCCCGGCUACCCGGGCCGUCAGGGUCCCAAGGGAUCGCAAGGUUUCCCCGGAUUCCCAGGCAGCAAUGGCGAGAAGGGCGCACGGGUGAGCGACCCCCCCACCCCCUAAACUCGGGGGUGUGUGUCCCCCUGAGGGCCAGCCGUGAAGCAGAGGGGACGCACAAAUGCUGGGGGGGGGGUGUCCCUGCCCUGUCCCCCCCCCCUCAUCGUGUCACUGAAGUGCUCUCUCUUAUAGGGUCUGUCUGGCAAAUCGGGGCCCAGGGGCGAGCGUGGCCCCACGGUGAGUAUGGGGCACGGUUAAGGGGGGGGGGUGUCCUCUGUCCCCCCCGGGGUGUACUCCAGCCAGCGCCGUGGGAGUGGGGGACCCAGCACGCCCCAAUCUGUGGGGUGGGGGGCUUCCUGUGUAUGUAGGGGGGGGCUGAUAAACCAUCUGUCACCCCCCCACCCCACAGGGUCCCAGGGGCCAGCGAGGACCACGAGGAGCCACUGGAAAGUCAGGGGCGAAGGUCAGUUUUGGGGGGGGGGGGGGGGGCCUGGGGUGACCCCAAACCCUUGUGCGUGUGCAAUCGCACACGCGUGAGGCGGCUCUGGCACCGAAGUGCGCCGGAGCCGGUCACCUGCUGGGCACCCAAAACCUCUCCCCUUCCUCGCUUCCCCAGGGCACGUCUGGCAGCGACGGCCCCCACGGCCCCCCGGGUGAACGGGUAAGUGGGUGUCCCGGUCUGGAUUUAGGGGGGGGUUGUCUCUGGAUUUAGGGGGGUCCCAGCUGGUGUCCCCUGGUACCAUCC